GGGCUACGAGCUUCACUCCCAACCCAAUGUGAACCAUACCAAACUGUUGCCUCGGCGGGGUCACGCCCCGGGUGCGUCGCAGCCCCGGAACCAGGCGCCCGCCGGAGGGACCAACCAAACUCUUUUCUGUAGUCCCCUCGCGGACGUUAUUUCUUACAGCUCUGAGCAAAAAUUCAAAAUGAAUCAAAACUUUCAACAACGGAUCUCUUGGUUCUGGCAUCGAUGAAGAACGCAGCGAAAUGCGAUAAGUAAUGUGAAUUGCAGAAUUCAGUGAAUCAUCGAAUCUUUGAACGCACAUUGCGCCCGCCAGUAUUCUGGCGGGCAUGCCUGUCCGAGCGUCAUUUCAACCCUCGAACCCCUCCGGGGGGUCGGCGUUGGGGAUCGGGAACCCCUAAGACGGGAUCCCGGCCCCGAAAUACAGUGGCGGUCUCGCCGCAGCCUCUCCUGCGCAGUAGUUUGCACAACUCGCACCGGGAGCGCGGCGCGUCCACGUCCGUAAAACACCCAACUUCUGAAAUGUUGACCUCGGAUCAGGUAGGAAUACCCGCUGAACUUAAGCAUAUCAA
rnacentral:rRNA from 1 species